rnacentral:rRNA from 1 species
GACAGAGGGUGCAAACGUUGCUCGGAAUUACUGGGCGUAAAGCGCGUGUAGGCGGGCCAUCAAGUCGGACGUGAAAUCCCUGAGCUCAACUCAGGAACUGCAUCCGAAACUGGUGGCCUGGAGUGGUGGAGAGGGAAGCAGAAUUCCUGGUGUAGAGGUGAAAUUCGCAGAUAUCAGGAGGAACACCAAUGGCGAAGGCAGCUCGCUGGGACGGUACUGACACUGAGACGCGAAAGCGUGGGGAGCAAACAGG